AAAGGGAGCGUAGGCGGCGCGGUAAGUCGGAUGUGAAAUCCCGGGGCUCAACCCCGGAACUGCAUCUGAUACUGCCGUGCUAGAGUAAUGGAGGGGUAGCUGGAAUUCUCGGUGUAGCAGUGAAAUGCGUAGAUAUCGAGAGGAACACUCGUGGCGAAAGCGAGCUACUGGACAUUUACUGACGCUGAGGCUCGAAGGCUAGGGGAGCGAAAGGGAUUAGAUACCCCUGU
rnacentral:rRNA from 1 species